UGGCGGACGGGUGAGUAACGCGUGAGAAUCUGCUUGGGGUCGGGGACAACCACUGGAAACGGUGGCUAAUACCGGAUAAGCCUUUGGGUAAAAGAUUUAUUGCCCCAAGAGGAGCUCGCGUCUGAUUAGCUAGUUGGUGAGGUAAGAGCUCACCAAGGCAGCGAUCAGUAGCUGGUCUGAGAGGACGAUCAGCCACACUGGGACUGAGACACGGCCCAGACUCCUACGGGAGGCAGCAGUGGGGAAUUUUCCGCAAUGGGCGAAAGCCUGACGGAGCAAGACCGCGUGAGGGAGGAAGGCUCUUGGGUUGUAAACCUCUUUUCUCAGGGAAGAAGCUCUGACGGUACCUGAGGAAUCAGCCUCGGCUAACUCCGUGCCAGCAGCCGCGGUAAUACGGAGGAGGCCAAGCGUUAUCCGGAAUUAUUGGGCGUAAAGCGUCCGCAGGUGGCGAUUCAAGUCUGCUGUCAAAGCACGGGGCUUAACUCCGUUAAGGCGGUGGAAACUGAAUAGCUAGAGUGCCGUAGGGGUAGAGGGAAUUCCCGGUGUAGCGGUGAAAUGCGUAGAGAUCCGGGAAGAACAUCGGUUGCCGAAAAGCGCUCUACUCGGACGGCAACUGACACUCCAGGGACGAAAGCUAGGGGGAGCGAAUGGGAUUAGAUACCCCCAGUAGUCCCUAGCUGUAAACGAUGGGAUACUAGGUGUAGCUUGUAUCGACACCGAGCUGUGCCCGAAGCUUAACGCGGUUAAGGUAUCCCCCCAUGGGGAAGAACCCAACGCAACGUUGGAACUCCAAAGGAUUGAACGGGGCCAGCACCAACCGUGGAAUAAGUGGCUUAAUUCGAAGCCACGCAGAGGAACUUAACAGGGAUUGAAAAGGCCGGCAUCCCCGUUAAAACUGGGAAGACCUUCCGGAACCGGAAAAAAAGUUGUGCAUUGCUUUUCUCAACUCAGUUUCUGAAAUUUUGGGUUUAGUCCACGCAACGAGCGCAACCCUCGUCUUUAGUUGCCAGCAUUAAGUUGGGCACUCUAGAGAGACUGC
rnacentral:rRNA from 1 species